CGCAGUCAGUCUGAUUACAAUGCCUCGCGAGCUGUCAGUUUGUGUUCUGAGAGAAGUAUAAGCCACAGCAUCCCUUCCCUGGAGCUGGACACGAUCCUCGAGGAGACGAUGUGCUCGGUGGAGGUGUAGCACCGGACAUUCGUAGUGUUUCCCCCUGCUUCCGAUCCCUUGUGGGUCACAUUUUGGGGGCGCCCCACCGAUCUGGCGUCGUCGAUGGCUCGCUCCAGCCGUCGGGAUUUCCCAGCACAGGUGUUUGGAUGGUGGAAUAUACCAUGUGACCCGUUUUCCUGUCGCCUGUGCGCCCCUUUGGCGCGUAGAACUAAGUGUUGUAGAACGUAUAGUGUAGCCGGCCCGCCGAUGUAAUCAAUCAGUCCACCUGGAUAACGUGUAACAAUCCUCGAACGCUUUAAACGACACCACGACACGAGCUUUAAUCUAUGAGGAAGUUUUCCUCGAAAUCUCCUUCAUCUCUUGUCUCUGUCUCCCUUUCUCACUACUCGGCAGAAGGCAGUGCAGGUGGUCUCACACCCGUCCUAAAACCCGUCCCAAAACAAAAAAAAAGCCUACACCUGAAAUGCUUUUAAAAAGUAAUAAUACACACUCAUUUACUCGCCAACCUCGAUAAAAGGGCGCGGUGUGCACAAGAAACAAAAGCCCACACGACCGUACAUGUUCUCUGCACAGAAAGCAUAUCAAAUAGGGGUGGGAAAAACCACCACCCGAGUCCGUUCACUUUCAUCCUUCCUUUCAUUCCAUGGAAAUAAAAGCCGAGCUUUUACCCAAGCACACAAGCACACGGGUGGUUCUUUCCUGCUGCGAACG